CCUACGGGUGGCAGCAGUGAGGAAUAUUGGUCAAUGGGCGCGAGCCUGAACCAGCCAAGUCGCGUGAGGGAAGACGGCCCUAUGGAUUGUAAACCUCUUUUGUCGGGGAGUAAACGUCGCUACGCGUGUCGUUCCGAGAGUACCCGAAGAAAAAGAAUCGGCUAACUCCGUGCCAGCAGCCGCGGUAAUACGGAGGAUGCGAGCGUUAUCCGGAUUUAUUGGGUUUAAAGGGUGCGCAGGCGGAAGAAUAAGUCAGCGGUAAAAUUGAGAGGCUCAACCGCUUCAGGCCGUUGAAACUGGUUUUCUUGAGUGAGCGAGAAGUAGGCGGAAUGUGUGGUGUAGCGGUGAAAUGCAUAGAGAUCACGCAGAACUCCGAUUGCGAAGGCAGCAUACCGGCGCUCAACUGACGCUCAUGCACGAAAGUGUGGGUAGCGAACAGGAUUAGAUACCCUUGUAGUC
rnacentral:rRNA from 1 species